GAUGAACGCUGGCGGCGUGCCUAAUACAUGCAAGUCGAGCGAACGGACGAGAAGCUCGCUCCCCUGAUGUUAGCGGCGGACGGGCGAGUAACACGUGGAUAACCUACUUAUAAGACUGGGAUAACUUCGGUAAACCGGUGCUAAUACUGGAUCAUAUUUUGAACCGCAUAGUUCAAAAGUGAAAGACGGUUUUGCUGUCACUUAUAGAUGGAUCCGCGCUGCAUUAGCUAGUUGGUAAGGUAACGGCUUACCAAGGCAACGAUGCAUAGCCGACCUGAGAGGGUGAUCGGCCACACUGGAACUGAGACACGGUCCAGACUCCUACGGGAGGCAGCAGUAGGGAAUCUUCCGCAAUGGGCGAAAGCCUGACGGAGCAACGCCGCGUGAGUGAUGAAGGUCUUCGGAUCGUAAAGCUCUGUUAUUAGGGAAGAACAUAUGUGUAAGUAACUGUGCACGUCUUGACGGUACCUAAACAGAAAGCCCCGGCUAACUACGUG
rnacentral:rRNA from 1 species